CCUUAGCUCAGUUGGUAGAGCGAUAGGUUCGCAAUCUAUAGGUCAGGAGUUCGAAUCUCCUAGGGUC
rnacentral:tRNA from 1 species